AUGCUUGAGACCUAAUGGAUCUGUAGGGUGCUGGCCGUCCCUUUCUGGUGUGUCUCCUGAAUUUUACAGAACCAUCUGGGGGUCCUCAUCUGGCUCCUUUCCCUACAGAUAAUCCAGUGUGCACAUGGACACAGGACAGUCCACUGUUUUGUUUGUUUGAAGAUUUAUUUAUUAUAUAUACAUUGUUCUGCCUGCAUGUAUGCCUGCAGGCUAGAAGAGGAUGUCAGAUCUCAUUAUGAAUGGUUGUGAGCCAUCUGCAGGUGCUGAGAAUUGAACUCAGGACCUCUGAAAGAGCAUCCAGUACUCUUAAACUCUGAGCCAUCUCUCCAGCCCUGUUCUUUUGUUUUGUUGUUUUGGGAAACGGUUUCUCUGUAUAGCCCUGGCUGUCCUGGAGCUCGCUCCUGGUGCCUCUGUCUCUGGAAUGCUAAGAUUAAAGUUGUGUACCACCAUGACCAGCUCUGUUUUUGUUGUGGUUCAGUUUUGAAACAUGGUCUCAUACUGUAGUCCACACUGCACAGAACAGUGGUGCAGCUGACCUUGAAUUCACAUCAAUCCUCCUGCCUCAUCUGAGUGCCUGAAUUACAGGUGAGAAGUACCACAUCUGGCUGACCAUUCAGCUUCCUAAAAACACCUUCAUUGAUCCAGUCGUGGGAAGAAUCCGUUAUGUCCACAUUGUCAACCCUACCACCAGUACCUCUCCUGCUCAAAUGUUAAGGCUUUCUGAAGUUGGGUACCACGCUACUGUUUAACAUUUAUCACCCCAAACUUGUUACCACGCUGAUGACCACAGUAGUGGCCUUUACUCCAUCGCCACCUGUCACAUCUAGUGUCCCGAUCAAUCUACUGUUUGCUCUUCUGGUUUUCUCUCUUUUAGGAGAAUAGAGGUCACCAAACAAGGUGACCAACGUAUUGGCAGGAGCUUAGGUGGCAAUUUGAGUGGAAGCCUGACCCCAGGACAGGGGUACUGGGAGUCGGGUAGGGGGUGGGAAAGAAUUGCAAACCGCCUGAGGAAUGCUCUGUGGUUAUUGAGUGAGGUAUGCAACGUACCUGGGACAAACGAAACACCCUCAAGUUGUUGUUUUAAGAAGAAACAAAUGAUUCCAUAGAAUACAACGAAUAUCAUAGACCCAGCACGGAUUCUAUUCAUUUUUACCCCGCUUCCGCAGUAAAGGGUGAUUUUUACACUUUCUGAGCAUCUACUCAGUGUAGGAAGUGUAGGUUUCAUGCCACUGAUAAAAGAAAAUUAGUUUCUUGACCAUAUCCAUUCUCCUUUACCCCCCCCCCAUUUGUCUCCUUGCCAAGUAGCCUUCCUGCUACUUUUGACUUUUUAAACAUUUAUUUUUUUCAAAAUAAAGUGUAGGUGUGUGUUUGUGCACGCCGCAGAUCUCCCCCGAACUUGAGUUAAGGGGCAGGGUGAGACGCGGGUUGUGGGUGAUGGGAACCGAACCCGCUUUCUCUGCAAGAGCGGUACUUUUGACCUCCGAGCCGCCUCGCCAGUCUCUCCCCUUUGUAUUUUCAUAAAGCACGGCGUUUUAAAAAUUCUGGUUUUAAGAAAGAAACAGAUAUUCCGAGGUUUCUAGCUCUUUGGGUUUUAAACGGUGGAACUUAGUUUUAAGAUGAAAAGAAAGGAAACACCUGCAGCUUGGACCCCCGAGGCCCCUCGGGCUGAGCCGCCCGCCGGGGCUGUCUGCGCGGUUCGCCUUCUCGCCAUCGGAAGGGCGGGUCGGGGAUCCGGGUUCGCUUCCCGAGGACGGCAGCCGCGGGGUCGCUCGGUCCGCCCCUGCCAGGCCGGUCUGCGCGUGCCGGGGGCUGGAUCUCACGGAGCGAAGCCCCGCAGAGGAUGCCGUCGCUCGCCCGCAGGCUUGGCCGUGCGAGCCCCUCGUGGGACCCUCGUCCAGUCGCUCCUGGAUCCACCGGUCCCCAGACACCGGCUCGUAGCCAAAGAGAGGCAAGACUCACUUAGAAGCCAUGGCCCAGAGAGCCCGGCUGAGACCCCUGUGGGCUGGCUGGCUGAAGAGACAGUCUUGGCUUAGACCAGGUGGCAAAUGAGAAGCAGCUGUGUUUCCUGUCACCAUGGAGAGGCCUGGAAGACUGUGGCUCCCAGCCUGGCCAGAAGUUGCAGGACCAAGAGCUGAGGGGCUGUCUGCCAUUUCCUUGCCUG
ensembl:lncRNA